rnacentral:ncRNA from 1 species
AUUUAAGCAUUCAGAAAGUAAUCACUGAAAUUUUUUAGAGAGUCUGUGGUUGGUGGAAACAGAUAGAUGAAAGUGAUGAAAAUUGGGCUGAAUGUUAUAAAGAAUUUGAAAUCAUAAGAAUUCGGUGCGCACACCUUACAGUGCAACUCGUGAAGCGAGAUUGAGAGAUAGGGAGGAUUCCCUAUAAUUGAGGUGGCACCGCGCAUCGACGUCCUCACA